CAGGAAGAAAAUACUGUUAAAAAGGAGGCAUAGUUUAAAUUUAAGGCAUCAGCUGAGGUCUGCUGCACUGCAGGUUUUCAUGUGGAGUUGCAUAGCCAUAGACUUCCAGCCGUACAGAGCCCUGCAACAAGUUAGACAAGAGGCACUGAGGCCUCUCCUGCAGGAUUCCAGGAGAAGAUUGAUUUGUGCAGAAACUGCCCAAAGAAGUAGCAAAGUCACUGCUUGCUGGCAGUACUUCUCUCCAGAUGCACCAUUUGGCACAUUAAGCAAUUCUUUUCUUAGAAGGGGAACCUAUGGUUUUGUCAUGUAAUGCAAAACACCAAUGGAAUCACUACAUAAGCAAAAUGCCAGUAAUGGUACAGUGGUCCAGCCACAAACAUUGCAAACAACCCAGGGCGAAACAUGGUUGUGAAGGUUUGCAGCUACACUUGGAGCUGGAGAAAGCCACUGCAGUAGUGGUGGGAGCUCAGCCAUGUGGAUUCAGCAUUGAGGGGAAAAGGGAUACACAUUCAAGAAUGCCUACAGAUACAGUUCUGUCUACACCUCAUCACAGGUACUUUUACAAAGCUUUUCUUUGUCCUUGUGUGCCCUUUGUCUUUUGACUGUCUGCCUGAAUCUAUAUCUUCUCUCUUGACCUCUUUAUUUGGGAGUUCUCUGAGGCAAGAGCCUCAUACAGCACCUAGAUAAUGCUCACAGUACUGCUCACUCUCAAUAUAUCCAACAGCACAUGGUUUUUCCUAGGAAGGGUGAGUCCUUUCCUUAAGAGAGGAGUUAGAUAGGUCUUUUAUCUUAGUAAUUGACUGGGAAUGUUAUUAGAGCUUUGGCAUAAAACCAGUGCUCCCUUUACAUGAGUUUUCACCUAGAAAGGGGUGUCAAGCUUAUUGUUAGGACAGGCCUGCAGGCUCUCCCCUUUGCCUCACACCUGUCCACACCUCUUUGUCCAAAAACAUCGAGGCUGUUGGACCAUGUGCAAAAUGCAGUUUUUGUGGGCUUGUUCUCCUGAAUUCUGUGGUGUUAGGAUUGGCUGUGUUGUGGACAUUGGGAGGAGAAUUAUUCUGGUGCUGAUUCUUGACCCACUGAGACCCAGUGGGUACAUUUUCAUUUGAUUUACAUGAUCCACUGACAAGUAUUAUGAUGGUAUGUUGUUGCUUUCCAGGAAACAGGAUGAAGGAGAAGAAAAAGACUGCAAGAAGUGGUUGGACUCAAGGGUCAUAAGAGUUUUCUCCAACCUAAAUGGUUCCCUUUAGUGGAAGGCUUUUUGUGUAUUGGCAAAGAAGCUGGGUUCCAAUAAGACCAAGACAACCUUUGCCACUUUUUCAAGAUGUCUUGAAGCACAUAUAAAAUUCAACUUCACAUCAGUUUUAAUAUGCUUUUAUACUACUAGACUCCACUUUAAGUCAAAAGCAACUCUUGGGUGAAGUUGGAUUUAAUGUAAAGAAUAGCAUUAUGUCAUCACAUAGGAAAGUGCUUCUUAACCACCAAAAUAUAUUUAAAAUACUUUUCUGAGUAAAUUUGUUGCUAAUUAUACUAUAUAAAUUUAAGAGUGGAAACUUGGUUUCUCCAUCAUCAUGGCUUGUAUGUCUAAUAUUUUGCACUGAGCUUUGAGUGCAGCUGUAGUGCAGCUCUCCCUGGAAAUCUGUUUUUGAUCUAACCCCAUUUUCUAGUUAAACAUUUCAAAUGAAAUAUACUGAGCAAGAAAAAGAGGACUACUUUGUUUGGAGUAUUCUAUGGGCAGAAGAUUGCCUGAGGACUUCCUUAUUGACUGUACCUUAUCUUGCUGUGUAUCCAGUAACAGAUUGAGUUGGAGUGUAGGUAACUCAACCUCUGUUUAAUUUUCUCUUUUUUUUUUUUUUUCAUCUCCAGCUACAUGGAUUAGAGGUAUAAAGAUGUUGGUCUAAGUCACAAGAGUUUUGGAGACUGGAAAUACUUGAUUUCAGUAGUUGAAUUUAAAGUUAUCUGAAGAUUGUUGCAGGUCCUGAAUGCUGAAGAGUUCCUGAAAUACAUCUACUUCCAAGCUGAAAAUGGCUGCACAGCAAGGCAAUAGCAUUUCAACCCAAAAGUGCAUGUACUCCUAUGGGGGAAAAAAAUUAUUCAUCUCUACUCCAAAAGUACUUGUGAACUUUUUUUUUGAAAGUUGGUGGGAAAUCCUCUUAGUCCUUUGGGUAACAGGACAGUGAGCUCUUUCACUUGGCAUCUGCAGCUUUGGAACACCUGAGUUGAAAAGCCUGUGCUUGGCAUCUGCCUAUAAACAAGACUGCUUCUAUUUCUUUCACAAGUCUAUGUGUUUGCAGAAGGACUUUUGUUUUUCUGUGUCUGUGUGACUGAAGGAGAAAAGGGCAACUGGAGUAAAAGUGUUCGCUGGGACUGGUUGAAGUGCACACAGGUGAUGGUUCUGUACUGGGGCCUGCAUGGCCAGGAGUUUUGGGGUUGGCUGUGGAGCUGGACACAUAUGUGGGAGAUGUCAUCUAUAAAACCUUAGACUGGCUUUUGCAUGUGGAAUUGUUUGUUGUUGUUGUUUAGAAGUUGUUCAUUGUAGAAUUGCACUGGCUGGUUUUUUGUGUGUUCCAAUUGAAUGUUUGAUUGUCAUAAGCAUUAUCUCUAUUUUUGUAGUCCCUUACUCAUUUGUUUGUUGCUAUUGAUGCAUUGUUUGUAAGUUUAAUAAUCCCUUUUAAGUUUGUUACUUUCGAGGUUUUCAAAGCAAAUCCCCUCACCAGCAGCAUCUUACAAAGAAUUUUUAACCUGCCCCAGAAGACUUGUAACUUGACACCACAGCAAUGGUGCAUACUAAUGAGGAACUUUCCCUCCAAAACCUCAGUUACCCCAAGGACAGCAAACUGUUGGAGGAGAAGAUGUUCCCAGCACCAAUCAACAAUAACUAUAGGGGUGGGACUGCCAGCAACAAGCUGAGGGGACAGAGAUUAUAAAAGGAGCUGUGAAGUUUGAAGAACUGCCCUUUAACUGUGGAUUAGCAGCUGAGGACCCGACACUGCAGACUUUGGUCUACAUCUCUUUUAGAGACUUUUUUAUAUAAAUUUGAGUGCAGAUUAGCUGCAUUCACUGCAGUGCCACUGAGUUCUUGCUUUGGGACCAAAAUGCCGGUUCGGCCAGAGGAUUCCUCAAUCCUCCGACCCGGGACUUUUUUAAAUUUCUUUUCGUUUUUUCUCCCUCACCCAUUAUCCCUUCCUCCCCUUUGUUUUUUUCCCUUAAUAUUAACACCCCAAAGUUGUGUCUUUUUCCUCACAGAGAGGAUGCGACAGGGCAGUGUUGAGGUUUGUCAUCAUGUGGAAGCCCUGCUUUCUGUGAAUCACUGAAGUCAGUGACAGGCUUUCUGCUGUCCUCUAUAGGAGCUCCUUCUGUGGACCAUCAGGAGGUCAAAAUCAUGGAAUCACAGAAUGGUUUGGCUUGGAGGAGACCUUAAAGCUCACCCCAUCCCAUCCUCUGUUAUGGGCCAAAGGUAUCUUUCACUAUCCCAAGUUGCUCCAAGUGCCAUCCACCCUGGCCUUGGACACUUCCAGGGGUGGGGCAGCCACAGCUUCUCCAGACAAACUGAGGCCUCACCACCCUCACAGGGAAGGUUUUCUUCCUAACAGCCAAUCAAAGCCUACUCUCUGUCGGUGUGAGGCCAUUCCCCUUGUCCUGUCAUUCCAGGUCCUUGUCAGUAAUUUCUCUCCAUCUUUGUUCCAGGUUCCCUUUAGGUACUGGAAGGCCACAAUGAGGUCACCCUGCAGUUUCUCUUCUCCAGAAUGAAAAAACCAAAUUCUCUUAGCCUUUCCUCACAGCAAAGCUGCACCAUCCCUCUGGUCAUCUUGGUGCCUCCUCUGAACCCUCUCCAGCAGCUCCCUGUCCAUUCUGUGCUGGGACCCUAGGGCUUGAGGCAGCUCUGCAGGUGGGGUCUCACCUAAGGGUACCAACUGCCCCUGAGCAACAUAAACCACUCAGUAAGUGAUAGAGGUUGUAAAGCCUGACAUGAGGAACUCAGCUGCCAUAGUUUCACUGAAAACUGUGUUACAAAAGAGCUGCUUUUUGUUACACUUGCUCUAAACCUGCCUUGCGAGCUCCACAGCGCCAGGCAUCAUUCCUGCAGCUGACCCCACACACACACCUGGGUGAAAGCCCAAUAUUUCUGGGCUUUUAUAAAUCCAGAUGUCAGAGUUCCAUCUUAGAUUCCUCUUGAGCCAUGGAAAACUGUAUUCUUAAGAGAGUUAGCUCAGCACCCUGCAAAAAUGAGUUAUUGUGGUCUAAAUUAAUAAUAGGCAUCAGUUUUGGAUUUUCAAGUCUUCUGAAAUGACAUAAUCCUGGUCCCAUUUAAGCCACUGUUGGGAUUGAGGUGGGCUAGAGUUAGAUGUGAAAAAAAGUGCUUUCAGAAAUCCCAUCCUAAGUACAGAAGAGCUAGGGGUGUCAAUGUGAUGCGUUCUUGAAAAGAAAUAAAAAAACAAACCCAUUUGAAGUAUGGCUUCAAGAUAUUCUGUCAUUUAAUGAACAGAUGUGUUUCACAGAUAUGUACAGUUCCUAUAAAGAUAAAUUCAGCAUUAAAGCUUGAAAGAUUAACAGUAAUCUUUUACAAGUUAAAAAAAAAAAAAAUCUGGAUGGGUGUUUCAAAGCAGUUCUAAAUUUUAAAUAUAAAAUAGUAAGUGUUGCAUGGGUUGUAUUUUGCCUUAAUCCUCAAGUGCAUAAUCCUGAAAUAAAUUUUGAGCUAAGUCCCCUAUGACCAGAAAUAUUCCUUUAAACUCUAGGGACUGAGCCAGCUAUAGUUUCCUUUUAUGCCAGCUAGCCAGAUGUGUUUUAAAGAAAUAAAAUUCUAUUCUAAGAAAAAUAAAUUCAAAACUCUUUACCAUAAAGUCUAAAAAAUAAAGCUAAAAACCAACAUGGACUUUAUUUCCACAGCAGCACAGAAUAACUAUGAAAAAAUCUGUGUCACAUGGGAUCAGAACUGUUGUUUUCAUUGCAGGGCAUUACCUGGGCAAGGACCAGGGCAAUUGCCUGGACACACACAGGAAAAAAAUUGCUGCAGGGGUUUUAUAUUUGAUAGUGAUAUCUCCUUUCUUAUAUAGCACUGAAACCUUUUUGACCAAAAAUCCCAGAAAGUUUUGAAAGUUCCAUUGCUUGGCUGAGUUUCAAGAAGCUUUUCUUUGACUGAAAAGCUGUAAAUAAUGAAAGAUAAGCAUUGAGAGGGUCUGAUUCUGAAUGCAGGGAAUCUGACUCAGUGCUGGGAGCUUCCCCUGGCCUGGCACAUUGGUAUUGGGAUCACACACAACACUGACUCCUGGUAGUGACUCCUAGCAGUGAUUUACAAACAGGGGCUUAGAACUGUUCUGAAAUUACACCCUCAAAUGCAUGCUGGUGCCCUGGUUUUCUCUCAUUCUCCUCCACCAUCCUUUCCUUCCAUUCCCUUUUCUAUACUCCUCUGUUGGGAAUAUUCAUUCAUGACCCCUGCUGCCUUUUUUCCCCUAUUUGCUGCCAUUUAGCAUUACACCAGCAGAAAAUUACUGCAGGAGUGACUUCCAUAAAGCAGCAAGUAAACUUCAAAUCAAGGAACAGUUUCAAAGAUGGGUUUGUUAUGUUCCUGUGAAUAUAUCAUAUCUAUAAUGAGGGUUUGGAUACUUCAACAUAUGCCAUAGGGGUAACCUCAUCGUUACCCACCCACAGUGACUCUGAUCUUGAGUGAUCUCAUUCCAUAUCCUCAGCAUAGUUCUGGCAUGUUCCCUCUGUAUGGAGGGGCAAAUAGAGAAUGACCUUCCUUUGAAAUCCUAGAUGUAUUUACAUAAGACCAUGCCAAAUGCAUUAACAAGUGCUGGAGUGGAAACCCGGAGUGAGUAAACAUGGUCAGCCCGAACACAUGUAAAUAUAUCCAAAAUUUUGUAGUAUAUCAUGCUUUGAUUUAUACCAUAAACUAUAGGAAAUACAAGGCCAGUAAGAAUCUACUCUAUUCAUUUUUUUUUAAUUGGUAUUUUUUCAUGGCAUAGCAUGUCACACUCUCAGGGAACUUUUAAAUUUCCUCUUUGCAAAGUGGAUUUUGUUCAGGUGACAACCCUGUUUUGUUGUGACUGACAUGGCACUUCUUUGCACACAGUAGCAGCUCCUGGUGGUGGUUAUUUGUGAUGUUGCACUCUCCUAUAUUCCUCCUUAUCUGCUGCACUCCUGCUCAGAGAAAAAGAGAAGGCUGCUGCUCCUAAGCUUGCAGUAGAUAUUUGGCCGAGUGCUUUCCUGGUUUUGGACGGGCGUUCCUCCUCGGAGCAGCAUGCCUAGGCUUUGAGAGGCACGUUAUGAUGAGUGAACAGCUAUAUGAGGAACUUUCAAACUUUAAAUCAUAUCCAAGGAACCUCCAGUAAUAAGGGCUUCAGCUUCUACCCACAAGUGGUCCUGCGGGAGAACUGUUCUUUGGCUUUUAUUUCCUGAAAGGAAGGAUUGUAUGGCAGGGUUGGGGCUUCGGGGUCUGUAUAAUCAAGGCUCGGCAUGAUGAAUUUGAUGUACUGGCAUCUGUUCUGUGUGCUUUGUAAGGCUUCCAAUAAAAUAUGAAUUAAAAAGAAAUAUGCUUCAUAUGCCUAUAUAGGACAUAUGGCAGU